UAAAUGCUUGGGGCAGUUGCCGGCCGGGUUAGGCCGGGAAGUGCCCAAUAAACUAGUAAAAUAUUGUGGGUUUUAUAACGAAAUUAAAACUUUCAACAACGGAUCUCUUGGUUCUCGCAUCGAUGAAGAACGCAGCGAAACGCGAUAUGUAAUGUGAAUUGCAGAAUGUGAAUCAUUGAAUCUUUGAACGCACAUUGCGCCCUCUGGUAUUCCGGAGGGCAUACCUGUUUGAGCGUCAGUUCAUUCUCAAGAGAGCAAUUUCUUGGUGUUGGGGGGUUGGUUUGCACCCCCUGAAAUGAAUUGGUUAGAAGGAUGUAAUAAGAUUUCGUCCGACUACCCCAGGCCCUUUAAAUUUGACCUCAAAUCAGGUAAGACU
rnacentral:rRNA from 1 species